CAUUAAUUCCUGUUAUGAUUGGAUCCUAUGACCAGCAACUGAUAUUUAUGCUAGAUGGAAAUACAGUGAAAAGUUUGAGUUAUGACCUCAAAACUUCUGAAAAUUGUUAUUAAUAUAAGUGGUUCUGUGUCAGUGGGACUUGAUGCACAAAUGAGGAAAUUUGUGAACCUAAAAGGGAAGCUCAAAUAAGUUGUGUGUUUGGGAACUUUCUAAAUACUUGCUUUUUCUCUGUUUGUUAAGCUGUUCAUGGGCAGCUUUCCCUUACGACUACCAUUCAGAUGGCAGCUAGAUAGGCAGUCAUCUUCUUGACCACAGCAUUAAAUUCCCAGUAACCUUUAUAAAUAGGUAGUAACUGUUCUGAGACAAUUUGUGUACUAUAUUAGACACACCCGUUUUUCCUAAGCACUAGGAAUUCACAUCCUCUGCAAAGAUGAGUUUCCUUCCUAUUUAAUAGAGCUUCACUUGGAUCCUCAGGACUUUUGAAGGUGAUUAAGAAGUGCAUGUGACAAAGUUAGAACCCUUCAGAUGAGGCUGCUAAAGCACAUACUCUAUGGGGAAAAAAGCUGCAAUAGUUAGUUCCUUUUCUCAAGAACACAAUCCACUGGUGGAUUUUUUCAUUAUUCUUUUUGUAAUCCUUUUCCUUGCUUUGUCAUAAAUUCAUCACCAUGAUGUUAUAUACCAUUUUCAUAUUUCAGAAAAAAAUGUUACAUGUUAACAACAUGAAUUUACGUUAUAACUGUAGAACUUUUAGCUUUGAUGCUUAAAGCAAUGGUUUCUAGCCCCCCAAUGAUCUGUUGUGAAGGUUGCCUUGUAGCCUAUAAAAUAAUUUGAAUACCUAUAGAUCUUGAAUGAUAGGAAGAAGCUUCCCUUGACAGAGGAGUGUUUGACACAUUGUCUAAGCACUUUUAAUCACACUUGUGAAACAGAAUACCAAUUCAAAUGUAUUCAGUGUGUUUUUCUACAUUUUCAAAUAUAUUGAUUUCAAUUACAACACAAUACAAAGUGUACAGUGCGCACUUUAUAUUUUUAUUACAAAUACUUGCACUGUAAA